UGGCGGACGGGUGAGGAAUACAUCGGAAUCUACUCUGUCGUGGGGGAUAACGUAGGGAAACUUACGCUAAUACCGCAUACGACCUACGGGUGAAAGCAGGGGAUCUUCGGACCUUGCGCGAUUGAAUGAGCCGAUGUCGGAUUAGCUAGUUGGCGGGGUAAAGGCCCACCAAGGCGACGAUCCGUAACUGGUCUGAGAGGAUGAUCAGUCACACUGGAACUGAGACACGGUCCAGACUCCUACGGGAGGCAGCAGCC
rnacentral:rRNA from 1 species